rnacentral:SRP_RNA from 1 species
GCCAGGCGUGGUGGUGCAUGCCUGUAAUCCCAGCUACUCGGGAGGCUGAGUCAGGAGAAUUGCUUGAACCCAGGAAGCGGAGUUUGCAGUGAGCCAAGAUUGCACCACCGCACUCCAGCCUGGGUGACAGAGCGAGACUCUGUCUCAA